rnacentral:rRNA from 1 species
GAUGAACGCUGGCGGCGUGCCUAAUACAUGCAAGUCGAGCGAACGGACGAGAAGCUUGCUUCUCUGAUGUUAGCGGCGGACGGGUGAGUAACACGUGGAUAACCUACCUAUAAGACUGGGAUAACUUCGGGAAACCGUAGCUAAUACCGGAUAAUAUUUUGAACCGCAUGGUUCAAAAGUGAAAGACGGUCUUGCUGUCACUUAUAGAUGGAUCCGCGCUGCAUUAGCUAGUUGGUAAGGUAACGGCUUACCAAGGCAACGAUGCAUAGCCGACCUGAGAGGGUGAUCGGCCACACUGGAACUGAGACACGGUCCAGACUCCUACGGGAGGCAGCAGUAGGGAAUCUUCCGCAAUGGGCGAAAGCCUGACGGAGCAACGCCGCGUGAGUGAUGAAGGUCUUCGGAUCGUAAAACUCUGUUAUUAGGGAAGAACAUAUGUGUAAGUAACUGUGCACAUCUUGACGGUACCUAAUCAGAAAGCCACGGCUAACUACGUGCCAGCAGCCGCGGUAAUACGUAGGUGGCAAGCGUUAUCCGGAAUUAUUGGGCGUAAAGCGCGCGUAGGCGGUUUUUUAAGUCUGAUGUGAAAGCCCACGGCUCACCCGUGGAGGGUCAUUGGAAACUGGAAAACUUGAGUGCAGAAGAGGAAAGUGGAAUUCCAUGUGUAGCGGUGAAAUGCGCAGAGAUAUGGAGGAACACCAGUGGCGAAGGCGACUUUCUGGUCUGUAACUGACGCUGAUGUGCGGAAGCGUGGGGAUCAAACAGGAUUAGAUACCCUGGUAGUCCACGCCGUAAACGAUGAGUGCUAAGUGUUAGGGGGUUUCCGCCCCUUAGUGCUGCAGCUAACGCAUUAAGCACUCCGCCUGGGGAGUACGACCGCAAGGUUGAAACUCAAAGGAAUUGACGGGGACCCGCACAAGCGGUGGAGCAUGUGGUUUAAUUCGAAGCAACGCGAAGAACCUUACCAAAUCUUGACAUCCUUUGACAACUCUAGAGAUAGAGCCUUCCCCUUCGGGGGACAAAGUGACAGGUGGUGCAUGGUUGUCGUCAGCUCGUGUCGUGAGAUGUUGGGUUAAGUCCCGCAACGAGCGCAACCCUUAAGCUUAGUUGCCAUCAUUAAGUUGGGCACUCUAAGUUGACUGCCGGUGACAAACCGGAGGAAGGUGGGGAUGACGUCAAAUCAUCAUGCCCCUUAUGAUUUGGGCUACACACGUGCUACAAUGGACAAUACAAAGGGCAGCGAAACCGCGAGGUCAAGCAAAUCCCAUAAAGUUGUUCUCAGUUCGGAUUGUAGUCUGCAACUCGACUACAUGAAGCUGGAAUCGCUAGUAAUCGUAGAUCAGCAUGCUACGGUGAAUACGUUCCCGGGUCU